rnacentral:rRNA from 1 species
CCUACGGGAGGCAGCAGUGGGGAAUAUUGCACAAUGGGCGGAAGCCUGAUGCAGCGACGCCGCGUGAGGGAUGAAGGCCUUCGGGUUGUAAACCUCUUUCAGCAGGGACGAAGCGUGAGUGACGGUACCUGCAGAAGAAGCACCGGCUAACUACGUGCCAGCAGCCGCGGUAAUACGUAGGGUGCGAGCGUUGUCCGGAAUUACUGGGCGUAAAGAGUUCGUAGGCGGUUUGUCGCGUCGUUUGUGAAAACCCGGGGCUCAACUUCGGGCUUGCAGGCGAUACGGGCAGACUUGAGUGUUUCAGGGGAGACUGGAAUUCCUGGUGUAGCGGUGAAAUGCGCAGAUAUCAGGAGGAACACCGGUGGCGAAGGCGGGUCUCUGGGAAACAACUGACGCUGAGGAACGAAAGCGUGGGUAGCAAACAGGAUUAGAUACCCUGGUAGUCCACGCCGUAAACGGUGGCGCUAGGUGUGGGUUCCUUCCACGGGAUCUGUGCCGUAGCUAACGCAUUAAGCGCCCCGCCUGGGGAGUACGGCCGCAAGGCUAAAACGUCAAAAGNGUAAGUAGGA